UGACGCGUGGUGCAAUGGCAGCACGGCGGAUUUUGGUUCCGCAAAUCCAGGUUCGAGCCCUGGCGCGUCAGC
rnacentral:tRNA from 1 species